UGGGGAAUUUUGGACAAUGGGGGCAACCCUGAUCCAGCCAUCCCGCGUGUGCGAUGAAGGCCUUCGGGUUGUAAAGCACUUUUGGCAGGGAAGAAACAGCCUGGGCUAAUAUCCCGGGCGACUGACGGUACCUGCAGAAUAAGCACCGGCUAACUACGUGCCAGCAGCCGCGGUAAUACGUAGGGUGCAAGCGUUAAUCGGAAUUACUGGGCGUAAAGCGUGCGCAGGCGGUUCGGAAAGAAAGGUGUGAAAUCCCAGGGCUUAACCUUGGAACUGCACGUUUAACUACCGGGCUAGAGUACGUCAGAGGGUGGUAGAAUUCCACGUGUAGCAGUGAAGUGCGUAGAGAUGUGGAGGAAUACCGAUGGCGAAGGCAGCCCCCUGGGAUGAUACUGACGCUCAUGCACGAAAGCGUGGGGAGCAAACA
rnacentral:rRNA from 1 species